ACUCUUCAACCCACCAAUUCCUUGUUGAAUUGAUUGGUGUUUGGAUCUUGAGCGUUGCUGGUCUAGCCUCUUAGUGGGCCAAGACGAAGCUCGUUCGUAAUACAUUAGCAACUCAAUUUUGAACUUUCGGAUUGACUCGGCGUAAUAGACUAUUCGCUGAGGACAUUAGCUCGUCUAAUGGCCGAAUUUCGAGGUAGAAGCUUCCAACUCAUAAUUUGAAGUCAAAUUCUCUUAG
rnacentral:misc_RNA from 1 species